AAUGCUUUAGAUAACUCCUCUGGCCCACCUGAUAAUAUUGACUGAUGCAAAGAGAGCAAUGCACAGCUAAGGCUAUCUACAACUGCACUAACCUGAAAAAAAAAUUGCUAAGGAAUGAGCUAGCGACUCAAUAAGCAUUUAAUUUACUAAACUAUAGUAUAUUAGGCUAGAAUUAUCAAGUCUUUAUCAAUACAGAAAAUUAUACUAACACUUAACUAACAAUCACAAAAUCAACCAUUUCAAUUAUUCUCAUAAACAAAUAAUUUCAUCUCACAUAAUGCAAAUAAUCUCAAACUCAACCAAGUCAAAUAAUUCAAUUCCACGUUGUUUCUAUCAAAUUAGGAUCAAAUGACUCAUCCUUACAUUUCCUCACAUUUUCAAAUUUCAGUAACCACUUGACAAGACUAUCCGCCCGGCUCAGUCUUGCCAUCUCACAUACUCGGGUAGCUAUUCGCCCGGCUCAGCUUUCCCGAUCACACAAUAUCCAUACAAGAGUCAUCAAUCCUUAAUCACAAUCAAUUCACUUCACAACACAUCACAAUCAAUUCACUUUACAACAAGCCAAAAACAUAACUAAUAUCAACUCAGUUAACCAAGAAAUUAUCAAGUAAUCAACAGCAGUUCCUACUCAAUAUACACAAAGUUUAGUCUAUUAAAUACUUACCAAAAUUUAUAGGAUAACAAAGUAAUCCUAUUCUUUUUCUCUUACCACUUCAUUUCCUUUGGA
rnacentral:lncRNA from 1 species